rnacentral:rRNA from 1 species
UACGCAGGGUGCAAGCGUUAAUCGGAAUUACUGGGCGUAAAGGGUGCGUAGGCGGCUCGGUAAGUCGGAUGUGAAACCUCCAGGCUCAACCUGGAGACGCCAUCUGAUACUGCCGUGGCUUGAGUCCGGUAGAGGAGCAGGGAAUUCCUGGUGUAGCGGUGAAAUGCGCAGAUAUCAGGAGGAACACCAGCGGCGAAGGCGCUGCUCUGGGCCGGUACUGACGCUGAGGAGCGAAAGCGUGGGGAGCGAACAGG